rnacentral:rRNA from 1 species
AGAACGAACGCUGGCGGCAUGCCUAAUACAUGCAAGUCGAACGAACACUUCGGUGUUAGUGGCGCACGGGUGCGUAACGCGUGGGAAUCUGCCCUUGGGUUCGGAAUAACAGUUGGAAACGACUGCUAAUACCGGAUGAUAUCGAAAGAUCAAAGAUUUAUCGCCCAGGGAUGAGCCCGCGUAGGAUUAGCUAGUUGGUGAGGUAAGGCUCACCAAGGCGACGAUCCUUAGCUGGUCUGAGAGAUGAUCAGCCACACUGGGACUGAGA